rnacentral:rRNA from 1 species
UACGUAGGGGGCUAGCGUUAUCCGGAAUCAUUGGGCGUAAAGGGAACGCAGGCGGUCUUUUAAGUCUGAUGUGAAAGCCUUCGGCUUAACCGGAGUAGUGCAUUGGAAACUGGGAGACUUGAGUGCAGAAGAGGAGAGUGGAACUCCAUGUGUAGCGGUGAAAUGCGUAGAUAUAUGGAAGAACACCAGUGGCGAAAGCGGCUCUCUGGUCUGUAACUGACGCUGAGGUUCGAAAGCGUGGGUAGCAAACAGG